GAGGAACAGCUGUUCAUGGAGGGUCGCUUAAUAUUAUGCUUACAGUCCCUUAAAGUGUUAAAUAUUAUCAGAUCUUGGUUGGAGGAACAGCUGUUCAUGAACAAGUUCAAUCUAGAAAAUCCUACAGGAUAGAGGACAUGAAGGAGGAUGAUGAGGAAACAGUGGUCCUGUUCAGUAAACAUGAUGAUAAUAUCAGUCUUAACUCCGACUGAAGAAUUCUAAGAUCAAGCAAAGAUCAAAUGUGGCUCUGUUCUGUAAACAUGAUAAUAUCAGUCUUAACUCAGACUAGAUAAUUCUAAGAUUAAGCUCAGAUCAACUGUAGCUCUGUUCAGUAAACAUGAUAAUAUCAGUCUUAACUCGGACUAGAUAAUUCUAAGAUUAAGCUCAGAUCAACUGUAGCUCUGUUUAGUAAACAUGAUAAUAUCAGUCUUAACUCAGACUAGAUAAUUCUAAGAUUAAGCUCAGAUCAACUGUAUCUCUGUUAAGUAAACACUAAUAUAAGUCUUAACUUCAACUAGAUGAUACUACGAUUUAGCUCAGAUCAUCUCUAGUGCUGACAAAAUAAUACUUAAGUUAAGGCUAACAUAAACGUCGAGAUAAUCUCCAUUCCAAAUAAAUAUUAAGUCAUGAAUGGUUAUUUCCACAAGAUCUUCCAAUUGUUUUAAAUUCCAAGUAAAUUUCACAUUUUCAUUAUUCCUUAGCCAGAAGCGAAUUAUUGAUUUAGGUAGUAUUCGACAAAUUAGUGAGGUAUAUUGCAAUAUUUAAUAGAGUUUUUUUUAUGGUUUACAGUACAGUACAGUACAGGAAUGUACAUAUUUCAGAAAUAUUCUCGUCAUCUACUGAGGAACAUUUUUAACAUCUAAGCAUAAGAAGAGGAUAAAUACUUCUGAAAAAUAGAUAACCCUUAUUUUUUUCUAAUUUACUGGAGAUAAGAUCUCGUAUAUUCAAAGCAAAUUUUGAUUUUUUUCUGUGAUAUUUUAACAUUACAAGUACUAAUGCUGAGUUUCUGGUUUGCGUAGGUUAUGGCAUAUUUUUUGUAUGAUCUUUGUAGUUUUCAGAUAUUUCAACCUUGAGUAUAACAUGCUUGUAUUUAUGUGUUAGUGUACAGUAUAUAUCCCAACCUACCUUUUUUAACCUGACACCCCUUCUGUUUUGCUCCCAACCCCCUUCCCCCCCCUGGCUCCAUUAUUUUAAUCCUGCAACCCGCUAAUUUUAUUUAAAGUUAACAUUCUCAAGCUAAAAAAGUUCUUUUAAA